GUCUUUUUGUCUUAAAUAUAAAGUAUAACCUGCCCAUUGAAAAUUUUAAAAGGCUGCGGUAUAUUGACCGUACAAAGGUAGCAUAAUCAUUAGUUUUUUAAUUGAGAACUUGUAUGAAUGGUUGAAUGAGAAAUAAACUUUUUUAAUAAAAAUAUUGAAUUUUACAUUUUAAUUAAAAGGUUAAAAUGAUUUUAAAAGACGAGAAGACCCUAUAGAGUUUUAUAAUUUAUGUUUAAAUUUUUAAAAAAAUUAAUUGGUAUUUUUAUUUAAAUAAAUUAUUUUAUUGGGGUGAUAAUAAAAUUUAAUUAACUUUUAUUUUUUUUUACAUUAAUAUAUGGAAAAUUGAUCCAUUACUAAUGAUCAAAAAAUUAAAUUACCUUAGGGAUAACAGCGUAAUUUUUUUUUUAAGUUCAUAUUAAUAAAAAAUUUUGCGACCUCGAUGUUGGAUUAAGAUUUAAUUUUAGGUGCAGAAGUUUAAAGUUUAAGUCUGUUCGACUUUUAAAUUCUU
rnacentral:rRNA from 1 species